rnacentral:lncRNA from 1 species
UCUCGGUCCAAUCACAUUCAAAAUUUCUGUACCAGUACCCGACGUAAUUCGAGGCGUGACCCUCUGUACGGUUCAAUCUUAGCCGUUUAUUUUCUUUCUUACGGCCCGAUCUCAAUCCUCAUUUUGUCUCAUCUGCGGUAUUAACUAGGUCAUCUUAAUUACCGCCGUCUAUUCAUCAUUAUAGCCGACCUCGGAACUCGCUUUGAUGCGACAGUUCGAUACGACGGUCUUUUCUUCUUCCCCAAGCUUCUCAUUCUUUUUCUCUCCUAUCCUUUUUAUCUCUUUUUCGUCUUCUACAACGAAAUCUCUUCUUCGUCUCUUUCUUUCUUUUGUCGUCUUCUUCAUCUUCCUUCGUUUCUUCGUUUCAAAGAAUGGCGCCUCUUCCGCCAUUGCCUACUCGUCCUUCAUUGGAUUAUACCUUGCUUAAGCCGUAUCUCGAUAUGGAUCCUUCUAGAUUCAUCUUGGGUCCCUCUUUCACUGAAGAGCCACCUGUUGAUGAUUUUUCUUUUUCUGACAAAGGU